rnacentral:rRNA from 1 species
UACGAAGGGGGCUAGCGUUGCUCGGAAUGACUGGGCGUAAAGAGCGUGUAGGCGGCCAGGUAGGUCCGCUGUGAAAACUCGAGGCUCAACCUCGAGAUGUCGGCGGAAACCAUCUGGCUAGAGUCCGGAAGAGGAGAGUGGAAUUCCUGGUGUAGCGGUGAAAUGCGCAGAUAUCAGGAAGAACACCCGUGGCGAAGGCGGCUCUCUGGGACGGUACUGACGCUGAGACGCGAAAGCGUGGGGAGCGAACAGG